GUAGAAGGCUGUGCAUCUUAGCGUGCAGUCGGACAGACUGUGCCAAGAAUCAUCUUCCUGUCAGGGCUCUUGUCCCUGGUCCCCUUGAAGUGACCAACAUCUCACAGUCAGCCCCUGCCAGUCAGCAUUGGUUCAACCCGUAGGAGUGUGGCCCCGGACGGACUCCUUUUAGUCUGUGCCCUUUGACCCCGAGGCAAAGAUGCACACCUUCCAUGACUAUCGCUUCAAGCUGCCAACACAACAUUAGAAAACACCUUUGCAGGGGAUACCAUUAAAAACGUUUAGUUCUUGAUGUCCACGGUCCUUAUCUCCUCGUUCCCCGUCUCCCUAGUCUUUCUCUCACUAUGUUCCCUUCUUCUCCUUUCUCUCACAUAAUCAUUAUUAGUGCUCUGUCUCCCUUGGAAGACAUGUGAACAGGUGUUUGGACUAUCAACCCCAACUCUAUACUUUGCUGGCCUCUUGUGGUGAAAGGUACAGGGGCCCUUUUUACUGGAGCAUGUGCCAGUGCCCCAGUAAAUCUGCUGUGCCCCAGUAAAAUCUUAAGUUUGAGUUUUAACAAUGUAUUUUGUAUCAGUGCAUUCAUUAAGAUUUAUAGUCCCGGACAAAGCUGCGGUAUCCCAAUCAACGCUUGUAAAAGCAGUUUAACCGAAAACACAAACCGAUGCCCGCAGAAUUUCAUGUCUGAGAAUUCCCGCCGUGGGAGCUUUGCGCCAGUAAAGGUGGUCACGAGGUUCAGGGGUAGUUUACUUUAAACCGAUUUCAUCAGGACUGGAAUACGUUAUCAGAAGUAGAUCAACUCCAGCUUCAGAACAGACGACCAACGUCGAAUAUGAGUUCUUCAGAGGAGGACCAGUAUGAAGACCCGAAGACGCACUUCUCAAUGAUGAAGCUGUCCAGGUUGGAGGAAUGGGAGAAAGUCCGCUUUAGAGAAACCAUCUGGCUAUGCUGGCCAUAGGUCUGACGUCCACAGCUCCAGCGUUCAUGCUUCAGGGCAGGGCCAAGGUCCUGGCCCCCCUCCCUGGACCCAGCACUCUGAUGAAGAGGAGGAGUGGACCCCUGGUAUGGAGAGACCCCCUACAGGAAGAUUGGAGGGACUUGUAACAUUGAGCCACACAAAUCACUGACUGGAGAUGUUCUUAACCUACAAUAUUAUUGACCUUAACUGCAUUCAUAUAGUAGAGGACUGAGCAACAAAACCAUUAAUUUUGAGUGAAGUUAAUUUAAUGUCCAGGGUUUCCAUGCUCUUGGUCGACUAAGAUUUUUGUAGUCGAGCUGCCGUAUGGCAGUGUGAGAUCUGAUUCUCGCUUGUGUCAUCAUUGCUGAAUUAACAAAAUGUUCUACAGAAAUUGUAGAUUAUAAUAUUCAAGACAAAUGAAGCAACUCCAAAAAUGUAGAAUAAAAAAAGGUGUAACUGUUUUCCCUUUCGUUAACCUGCACUUUGU